GUAAAACAAGGUCCCCACUUUGAAUUGAGUUUCCUGUGGCUGCAUGUGGACAUUUUGCAUCUCUGUGAAUCAGUAUAAAUUGUCAUAUCAAUCACUUCUGGAAAUAGAAUCAACUUCUGUCAUUCUGGACAUGGUAAGGAUAUGUGCAACCUAUCUACAUCUGCAUGUUGAAAGUUCUGUAAAUAAGUUACAUAAACAAACAGAAGAUGGACUCAGUGAAGUGAUCCAGAUGAAGAUUUCCAAGGGUCAACAAUAAAUGCACAAAUGCAAAAAGAUACAGUGAGCUCUGAAGUGGACGGAAAUGACAGGAAGAGUUAAAAGAUAUUGUAACUGUGCUGAAAAAAGAACUGGUAUUAUCAACAUAUGAUGAAUAUUCUACCGAAUGCCAACAAAAACAAUAAGCCAUUAUUGCAGUGACAACAGAGAUUAACAAUGAUAAGAAAAACAUUCAUGAACUAGAAAUUAAAUAACCUUUGAGGUAUUGUUAUGUAAGUGUGCAUUAAUGAUUUAGUUUAAAAGAAUAUGGAAUAAAAUAUAGAUGUUUGUAUAUAAAGUUUGUAUCUAUAAGGUGUUUUAUUGUAACAGCAUGCCGUACUGCUCUGAAUGAUAGAAAUACAGACUUUUACAUUAA